rnacentral:rRNA from 1 species
AUUGAACGCUGGCGGCAGGCCUAACACAUGCAAGUCGGGCGAGAGGCGGACGGGUGAGUAAUGUAUGGGGAUCUGCCUGCAGGAGGGGGAUAACUACUGGAAACGGUAGCUAAUACAGCAUACCAUCAGAUGAACCCAUAUGGGAUUAGCUUGUAGGUAAGGUAACGGCGUACAUAGGCGACGAUCCCUAGCUGGUCUGAGAGGAUGAUCAGCCACACUGGGACUGAGACACGGCCCAGACUCCUACGGGAGGCAGCAGUGGGGAAUAUUGCACAAUGGGCGCAAGCCUGAUGCAGCCAUGCCGCGUGUAUGAAGAAGGCCUUCGGGUUGUAAAGUACUUUCAGUCGGGAGGCGUUACCGACAGAAGAAGCACCGGCUAACUCCGUGCCAGCAGCCGCGGUAAUUC